GACGAACGCUGGCGGCGUGCUUAACACAUGCAAGUCGAACGGAAAGGCCCUGCUUUUGUGGGGUGCUCGAGUGGCGAACGGGUGAGUAACACGUGAGUAACCUGCCCUUGACUUUGGGAUAACUUCAGGAAACUGGGGCUAAUACCGGAUAGGAGCUCCUGCUGCAUGGUGGGGGUUGGAAAGUUUCGGCGGUUGGGGAUGGACUCGCGGCUUAUCAGCUUGUUGGUGGGGUAGUGGCUUACCAAGGCUUUGACGGGUAGCCGGCCUGAGAGGGUGACCGGCCACAUUGGGCCUGCGAUACGGCCCAGACUCCUACGGGAGGCAGCAGUGGGGAAUAUUGCGCAGUGGGCGGAAGCCUGAUGCAGCAACGCCGCGUGCGGGAUGCCGGCCUUCGGGUUGUAAACCGCUUUCGCCUGUGCCGAAGCGUGAGUGACGGUAAUGGGUAAAGAAGCACCGGCUAACUACGUG
rnacentral:rRNA from 1 species